CAGCAGCCGCGGGAAAACGAAGGGGGCUAGCGUUGCUCGGAAUUACUGGGCGUAAAGGGAGCGUAGGCGGACUGUUUAGUCAGAGGUGAAAGCCCAGGGCUCAACCUUGGAAUUGCCUUUAAUACUGGCAGUCUUGAGUACGGAAGAGGUAUGUGGAACUCCGAGUGUAGAGGUGAAAUUCGUAGAUAUUCGGAAGAACACCAGUGGCGAAGGCGACAUACUGGUCCGUUACUGACGCUGAGGCUCGAAAGCGUGGGGAGCAAACAGGAUUAGAUACCCGAGUAGUCCCUGUCUCUUAUAC
rnacentral:rRNA from 1 species